rnacentral:rRNA from 1 species
AUUGAACGCUGGCGGCAUGCCUUACACAUGCAAGUCGAACGGCAGCACGGGAGCAAUCCUGGUGGCGAGUGGCGAACGGGUGAGUAAUAUAUCGGAACGUGCCCAGUCGUGGGGGAUAACGCAGCGAAAGCUGUGCUAAUACCGCAUACGAUCUAAGGAUGAAAGCGGGGGAUCGCAAGACCUCGCGCGAUGGGAGCGGCCGAUAUCAGAUUAGCUAGUUGGUGGGGUAAAGGCCCACCAAGGCGACGAUCUGUAGCUGGUCUGAGAGGACGACCAGCCACACUGGAGCUGAGACACGGUGCAGACUCCUACGGGAGGCAGCAGUGGGGAAUUUUGGACAAUGGGCGCAAGCCUGAUGCAGCAAUGCCGAGUGCAGGAUGAAGGCCUUCGGGUUGUAAACUGCUUUUGUACGGAACGAAACGGCCCUUUCUAAUACAGGGGGCUAAUGACGGUACCGUAAGAAUAAGCACCGGCUAACUACGUGCCAGCCGCCGCGGUAA